UUUUUUCACGAUACUUAACUAUUUACACGAUACACCUAAUUGUUUGAAGGUAGAAUGCCAAUAGAAGAUAGAAUUGCAGAGACUUCUUACGGACGAAAUUGGAGGUUUUUCAGGAUGCCGUCAGAAUGCUGUCAGCAUCGAACACUCAAGACGCAAGCACGCAAGCUAAAGUUUUGUGUUCAGAUAUUCUCAGUAACCCUGAAUCUAUCUGAAAUCUAUUUGGUUUUAUCGGUUGUCUGAGACAGCAAUUUCCAUCAUUUAAGCAUUUAAGGCCUACCAUGUAUUUUUUGCUGAGAUAGCUUGCUAUGAACUGAUCAUCACUUCUACAAGCUGUUAGCCUAUUUCCAUAGUAAUGUAACAUGAUACCAUACUGGCAAAAUGUUAGUGGGAAAUAAUGAAGUCCUUAAGUGUUUUCAGUUUUACUUCCUUGUCUAUGGAAUUUUUCUUUAAAAAGAAAGAAAACACAAAUGAAUCUUGCCUGAUUACAUUAAAGGGAAUUGUAAACAAUUCAUAAUUUUUUGAACUUCUAUAAUGAAGAUGUUGCCCAACAUGAGCACUGAGUUCAGCAAACAUGGUUAGUGGGACAAACAUUUCAAAACAAAACACAAAUCCUUUUAGUGAUACAACCCGUAGCAGCAGCCUUAAAGUGUGUUCCAUGAUACACCAACCCCUCAGAUAGCAUUCUGAUUGGAAGUUGUGGGGUGCUCUGUGUGCUGAUCUGCACAAUACUGGCUUUGUGCAAGAACCUACCAACAGACUAAACAGUAUUGAAAAACUCAUUUGUUAAGGAAAUUUGUGGCUAUAUAGUUGCUUGAGAUUACUCAUCUUGAGGCAGAAAUGUUUUUCUGUGGGGAAUAUUGGAUGCAUUGAUUUCUGAUACCAAACCAGCAUCAUUGGAAAGAUUGUAAAAUUAUUUUUUAAGGCAAUACAGGAAAUUCUAAAAGUUGGAGGAUGGUACAUUUGCAUGUUGCUCCAAGAAAAAAUAUUCUGUCCCUUGUGUCAUACUUUCAUAAUUCAGUAUACCAUUAGGUAUACUUCAUGCCUUAACAACUGCUGCAUAUUUUCAAGACAUCUAGGGGAGAAAUAACCAACUCCGAAUCACUUUCAUGGCCAUGUCAGCUACUCUGUCAGAGUGUCAGCUGUUUUAUUUCGCGUGGCGUCGUACCUGAGGAUGGUAGCUCAAAUUAACGUCUCCAUUCUUGAAAUUUCACCACUGAUUUUGUGUGUUUUGACCUGGAUUUUGAGAACGAAAUCCAUGCUAAGUUGUGAGAGGAGGAGCAUGGCUUGGCUUAAGACCUAGCCUUCACUAGUUUUUCAUCUCCGUUGUUAGGCAAAUACACCCACUUUGGUACCAAAGGUGCCAUUAGGUGAUGUUGCAGUUAACAGUUAAAGUUUUGAUAUUGUACUUAGAGAUCUUUUGGAUGUAUCUAAUAUACUCUGGUGGUUGCAGAAUCAUUCUGUGACAGAAAGGAAUGCUGUCGAAGUUUUGUUGUCAGUGUAAAUAAACGUUUCCCAAGAUCA